CGGGUGACAGGUGGUGCAUGGUUGUCGUCAGCUCGUGUCGUGAGAUGUUGGGUUAAGUCCCGCAACGAGCGCAACCCUCGACCUUAGUUGCCAGCAUUCAGUUGGGCACUCUAAGGUGACUGCCGGCUAAAAGUCGGAGGAAGGUGGGGAUGACGUCAAAUCAUCAUGCCCCUUAUGACCUGGGCUACACACGUGCUACAAUGGGCGGUACAAAGGGUCGCGAACCCGCGAGGGGGAGCCAAUCCCAAAAAGCCGCUCUCAGUUCGGAUUGCAGGCUGCAACUCGCCUGCAUGAAGCCGGAAUCGCUAGUAAUCGCGGAUCAGCAUGCCGCGGUGAAUACGUUCCCGGGCCUU
rnacentral:rRNA from 1 species